GGAUCCACCUUGUAGAAAACAGGUAUCACAUCCCUUCCAAAUCUCUUCUUGCAUUCAAGUAUCUUACUGAGUUCAUUCAAGCACCAAGUGGAAGAUGCAUAGUUUUGGGAGAAAACGAUGACAUAAAUCUUUGAUUCUUCUAUUGCAGAGAGCAGUGCAGGUGAAAUUUCUUCGCCCCUGAGUAGUCUAUAAUCAAUAUAUGCUUCAAUGUUCUUCCUUUGCAGUGCUGCAUAAAGGUGGCUAAUGAAGUUGUCACGUGUGUCUUCGCCUCUGAAGCUGAGAAACACAUCAUGCCUUGUUAGAGAAGUAGACACGGCCAAUGAUGAAGGACUUUCUGACAUUGGAGUCAAUUUUCUCUCCUUUCUCUGCAAUUCUCAGGUCUCUUUCUUUGUACUGUUUCUACCACAAAUCUACUCUGCUGCUCUGGACUCAUUAUAAAACACAAGUCAACUUUUGAAAAAGUCUUUCAAUUUUCUUAACAUUCCUUUCACAGAUAUGUGUUCUGGUCAGACAUCGUAGUCAGCAGAAACUAAAGAAAAAGAAAAAUAUUAAUUUAAUAGAAUAGUCAACAAAUUGCAAAAUAAGUAUGGAAUCUAGAUUUAUAUCAUUAUCACGUGUGGAAACAUAGCUACGUCUUCUUAGAUAAAAUCCUUAUUUAAGUUUUAAUUGGGCCUUGUAGUGGGCUUUGUAAUCUGCUUUUCUUUUCUCCUAUAUUGCUUUAUAUAUACACCUCCACUUUUGCUUUCUACAUUUCAUUUUACAAAAUACAUUCUCUCAUUCUGUGUCAUUUAUCUUGCCUGAUUCCGUCCUCUCUUUAUCUUUUUCUCUCAUCCUCUUGCUUAUAAUUCUUUUGUUUUUAUUAAGAAAUACACUAUAAUUCUAAUUUAAUCAUAUACUAUAAUUAUGCUAAUCAUCAAUUAGUACUAUAUAUUAUUAAUGAUCUGCGUAUAUAUUAUUUAUGAUUUGCGGAUAAGACAAUAGAUUCAAUAAAUUCUAGAUAAAAUAAAUUUUAAAUGAAUAUGAUAAAAAUAUAUUAAAAAAUGAACUUUAUUGAAUCGAUUGAGUAUCUCUAUUUUAAAGACUUGUAAGAAUAAUAGGAAUAACAAUAUAUUAAUAUUAAUAUGUUUCUUAAUAAAUUUCAUACCCACUAUCUAUUUAUAAAUUAAUAUAUUAUAAAUAUCUAAUGAUGUCUUAUUUCUCUAACAUUUAAAAUUAAAUUUGUAGAUUCUACAAAACAUUACAUUUUGAUUUUAAUAUUUAUAAAAUAUUUUUUAUUCUCAUAUUUAAAAAACAAAACUUAGUUUGAGUGUAUUCCUUAGUUACUUACUACUCAUCACCAGCCGCCAACAGCGUGAUGGCUUCACUCUCCGUUCGCGCCACAACCACCUCUUAUCGGGCCUCCUUCCGGCCCAAGCCCACCUCGGGGCCCACCAGGGUCCGAAUGUCCCUCCGCGAUGACGGCCCCGCCAUCGCCGUCGUCGGCGUCACCGGCGCCGUUGGCGAGGAGUUCCUCUCCGACCGCGACUUCCCCUACCGUUCCAUCAAAAUGCUGGCCUCGCAGCUCUCCGCCGGCCGCCGCAUCAUCUUCGAGGACAGGGACUACGUCGUGGAGGAGCUCACAGCGGAUAGCUUCGACGGCGUCGACAUUGCGCUCUUUAGCGCCGGCGGUGGUAGACUAUAGCUCCGCAUUUGGGAUGGACGAGAAGGUGACGCUGGUUAUUCCCGAAGUGAAGCCCCAAACGAUGCAACACAUCAAAGUUGGAACGGGAAAAGGCGCUCUGAUUGCGAACCCUAAUUGCUCCACCAUUAUUUGCUUGAUGGACAUACUAAUUAAUAUCAAUUAUAACAAAUAAUGAACGUUUCUGGUCAUUUCUUGUACUUCGCGUUAUUUCAUAACAGUAGUUUUUUUAAAUAAAUUAAGAAAAAUAUUCAUUUUUAAAUUUAAUGCACUUUUAAAUAAUUUGACUAUUAUAAACAUAAUCACUUAUAAAAAUAAUUUUAGAGUAGUUGAUAUAAUUAAAAUAAAAUAUUUUAUUAUUAAAGUAAAAAUUAUAUAUAAAUAAAAAAUAGGUUUUAUUUUAAAAUAAUAUUCAAUUUUAUAAAAGUUUUUUCUUUUUGUCUUUUUUUUUUUAUAUUUCUAACCAUAUUUUUUCGUGAGGUUGAUAAUAGAAUCUCACUUUGGAUUUAUGGGAAUGAAUAAUGAAUUAGUUUUUAGUUUUCUAUUUAUCUAUAUAUAAAGGUGAUACGGUGACAAAUUCCAAAAUUUUAUUAUAAUGUUUGCUUUGUUGAUUGAAAUAGAUGUUAAUUGAUGAAAAAGAUUGAAAGUUUUAAACCCAAUACACCCCUCACGUCGAGGUUAGGUGGACUGAUAAGUUCAGCAAAAUCUCGUUAUGAUAGUUUUUAGAUGACUCUGAUACCACAAUAAAAAAUAAACUUUAAAUUUAACUCAACCUUACAAAACUAAUUUAUAAAGUGAGCUAUGUAUCCCUAGUCGAUGUAGAAUCUCUAACAAUGAUUUAAAUGAAUUGUUAUAUGCUUUAUGAAGUUUAACCUUUAUUUUUACUUGACAAAUUGGAUUUUAAUGAGGUAUAUAUGCUCUCAGCAUCAAAUCCGCUUAACGAAAUUUAUAUGUGUCAAGCGAAUUUGGACAUGUAGAGUUUGAUGUGCUCUUGGCCUCAAAUCCGCUCAAUGUUUUUUUUUCCUGUACUUAAGCAAACUUACAUCCAGAUUUUGGAGUACUUUCGAACUCAAAUUUGCUCAAAGAAAUUUUCUUAUGGUAAGCAAAUUUAAGCGGCUAUUGUUUGGAUGUUCUCUGCCUCAAAUUCGUUCAGUGAAAUUUUCCUGUGCUAAGGAGAUUUCUCUGGGCUUAAGCCCCAACUUCAUGGGCUCGACCCAUUUUGACGACAUUUGUCAUCUUUGCUUAGAUAUCUUUUGGUUUGUUUUCUAUAGGUCAUGAAAUUGAAUUAAAUCUUUUGAAAUUUAUCAUUUUGUAAAUUGUAAGUGAUUACAACUUUCUAAUGUUCAUGCAACAUGUGUUUAAAAUAAGUAAAUCUAACAAAUAAAUACUCGUUACAUAUUCAAUGGAAAGCUUUUUCUUUUAAUUCUUUGGUGUUUUAUUUUGAUGAUGUAUAUAUUUGAAAAUCAAUGUAUGAAUGGAUAAUGCUUUAUGAUAUAAUAAUAUUACAAUGUAAAUGUUAUUUAUAUACUAUCACAUGAUAAAUUAAAAUUUAAUAAGAUAGUUAAGGAUGUUAUAAUUAUUCUUUUAAUUUAUUUUAUUUCACUGUAUAUUUAGGUGUAUUACGUAGAAUGUAUAGUUAAAAAAAUAAUGUUAUUUUGAAAUUUAAAGAAUGACGUAUAGAAAUAAACAAGCUUUUGUUAAAAUUAUACUAUUUGAAAAGGAACACAGAACAAUAUUGACAAUUAUACUUUUACUUAUUACUUAUUUUAAUUUAUUAUAUUCAUGAGUAUUAUUUUUUUUAAACAUAGAUAUUGGAUAAAAAAUAUAAAUAACAUUUAUUUAUUUCAAAUUUAAAAAUCUUUAAAAUAAAAUUAAAUAAUAUUUUUAAUUAAGAUGUGUUUUUUAACAAUUUUUUUAAUUUAAAAAAUAAUUAAUUCGGAGGAUGAUUAAAGAAAUAUUAACAAAUUAUUUCUGCGUUUAUAAUAAACCUUCAAUAAUAUUUGUACUUUCUAGCAUAUAGAAUACUUAAUGGAUCCCUUUGUGAUUUUUCUUUUCUAAAGUGCAAUUGAUAUUUUAAAUGUUUUUCUAUUUAAUUUUCCUUUCUUAAUGACACAUUAAAGGGUUCAGUGCACGAUUAAUUAUUCUCACCUUAGAUUUCAUUCAUCUCAUUCCAUUUCCACACUCAAAUCAUUCUCACAUUUUUUUCUACCUAUUUCACAAAGUUUUAUGUAAAAUAUGGAAAUUAAACUAAAAGAACCCUACUUAUAUAUUAAUAUUCAACAACUUAAAAUAUUACUAUGCAAAUUAAUCUUUCUUAAUAAUGUUAUGUAAAAAUUAAAAUGUAGUUUAGUCAUUCAUACUUAGAUGGAUAAAGAUGGUUUUAGAAAAAAAAUGCAUUUUAUUUCAAAUCUAUUACUUAUAAAAUGAGUUAUAAAAUGAGGUUUGUGAUAUUUAUUCAAAAUUUAAAUUAUAUUAUGCAUUUAUGGUUUUAUGUUUUUAAAGAAAUCAGAAACUUAGAAAAGCUCCUAAAAACUACUGAAAUCCAUAAGAUGAUAAUUAAUAAACAUCCUCUCUUAAUAACAUAACAUAUAAGAUAGGAGUCUUUACACUUAUAUUCUUCAAACAAUUAUAAGCUGUCUUCAACUUUACUGUUAAACUACAAUUAUAAAGAAUUAACAAUCUCACACACCAACAACAUUUAUAAGCCAUCACUCACAUGAAACAAGGUGCCUCAAUGUGAAAAAACCAAGAUCAAUAAGAAAUGAGGUUCCACUUAACCAAGCUGAGAAUUUUCUGGUUUUCCAACUCCAUGCACAAACCUAAUACAAUGAUAUGAUAUUCAAUCAGCAUUAAUUGGCAUAAACAGGUACAUUGUUGUAAAACUGGGAUUAUAAGGUUCCAUAGGAUGGAGAAAAGUAAGAAGAGGAUUUACCAAUUACCCUUUCAAAUGGAGCUCCUCAGGAUUUCAUAAUGCCUUCACUGCAAAUGCAACCCAAAUAUGCUAAAAAAGUUAAUGAAACUAUAUAUGAAGAGUUUCAAGAAAAUGCAACUCUGGGACAACAGAGAAACCCAUCUCAUGCUGAACAGAAACAUCAAACUAUAUCUAACAAUAACUUAGAAAUCUUUGUCAACAAUUGAACGAACCCACUCCUAAAAUGCCAUUGAAAAUGUAAAUAAAACAAAAUAAAUUAAAAACGAGAAAUUCAUAAUAAAAAUUCAACGUGUUGAAACUUAUGAUAACUCAGUUUAGAUCCUGACCAAUGAAAGACUAAUUAGCAGAAGAGGAAGAGACUAGUUGACAGGGUAGCUUUCGGCCUUUCUCUUCCUAUCUUUCCUUGUUUCUCUUGAAGACUGUGCAACAUUGCUUCCACUGGAUUCUUCAAUGUCAACAUCACCACCAUAUUUAUCAUCUUUCUUUUUGGUAUAAAGGGGGCAUAUGCCGCAUUCUUUUAUUGUGAUGUCUGAUGCCAUCACUCUCACACCUGAUUUGUAACUAUACAGACUGAUCUCAAAAGUGAAGCUGCGAGCAUCACAGACCCUAAGGCUCUUGCGGCUCGCCGUUAGGGACUCCAUGUUAAAUUUCCACACGAAUGUGUGAUCUUCAUCAACACAUCUGUGUUCACCAUUCCAUUUGAAAUAGCUGUUUAACACAUCAUUAUUUAGAAUGAUCUGUGUGCCAUCAUCAUCAUCAGAUUCAAAUUUUAGACUGUAACCAAAAGAACCAUAUCUACAUUUAACAGCUUUCGUAUCUAACACUCCAAAAACCACACACAAAGCGAAACCAGUGAGCCUAUCAUCGCUGCAGAAACUUAAAUCUUCAUUUAUAGUCACUGAAUGUCCCUUCCCACGAGAAUGGAACCAACGAGGAACUGCAUUCCCUGGAAAACAGAAGAACACAGACCUAUAUGCAUCGUCGGUCAUCCUAACCCAUGCAUCCUCCUCAAUGUUAGCACGAGCACCUGAAUCCAGUUGCUGAGCAUUGGUGAAAUGAAAUUUGAAGACACCCUCUUUGGAGUUUGAGAAGUUUGGAACAAGAGAAUUUGACAUCACUCUUCUGAUGGAUGGGCAAUCCAAUGCCACGAGUUGUUUUAGAAAUGGUGGAAUCUGUGGGAUGGAUUCAAGUUUUUUGCAGUCGCUUAAAUCGAGCGAGUUCAAGCUUGAAAGAUGAGCAAUGCUCUCAGGAAGGUUCACGAUUCCGCUAUCACGCAGUGACAGUUCCAUUAAUGACGUCAAGCGACCGAUGUGGCUUGGGAUUUCUGUUAAUUUGGCACACCCCGAACAAUCAAGUUUAGAGAGAAGCUUCAGAUUAACAAUGGAGUUUGGAAGUGACUCGAGAUGAAUGCACUCUUGGAGUUCCAGGGAUCGAAGAUUAACGAAAUUGCCAAAUGAGGAAGGCAGUUCUUUAACAGCCGUAGAUGUUAAGUUAAUGUGAGCAAAAGUAUGAGCCGGCUCCGCGAUCUCUGGGAAGGUCCUCAGCCUUGAGCAACCACGCAAAUCAAGGUUCCUCAACUUCAAAUUGAAAAUGGUGCUUGGAAAAGUUUGAAGUGAAUUACAGUGGGUAAGGUCUAACUUGCAUAGUCUGGUGAGGGUUCCAAUGGAAGAUGGAAUAAUCUCAAGAUUCAAGCAACUGCGCAAACUCAGUCCUUGAAGCCCUACCAAACGGCACAAGGAUGAAGGUAGUGCCUGUAUGGCUGUGCCGUCUAAGAUGAGCACCACUAGAUCUUCCAACGUGUCCUGAAUCUCGGGUAAAUUUUCCAAUUUUGAGCAACCACUGAGAGAAAGUUUCUUUAUGAAUUUCAUAUCAGAAAGGUGAAAUGGAAAGAUUGUAAGGGAAGAACAGUGAGAGAGAUCUAAGUAACAGAGCUUCUUGCGAUUAAAGUUGAAGUGACAGAGCUUCAUGAGUUUUGUGAACACUUUAAAACAUAUAGUAUCAUUAGCCACUUCUUCUUCCUUAUAUCUGUCAAAAGUAAUUGAGAAAAUUUCACUGGAAGUUGGGAAAAAAGGACCACGGUGUCGACGUUUACCACGCCGUCCUGAGAAAUUCGUCAUAUCCGGUUCCUGACGAGGGAAUAUUGAGAAAGUUUGAAGUUGACGCUCCAGUAUCACAUGAGGGAAUCUGGGUUUACUGAUCGAAAACAUAUUAAGCUUCGGACAACGGGAAAGAGUAAUCCAUCCUGGUGAUGUGGAUAAAAUGUUGCUGGGAAUAUUUACACUAUUCAGAUCAUUACAAUCAUCUAAACAUAAACAACUGAGCUUGUUGAGGAAUAUCCAAGAGUGAACUUCAAUCAACUUUUCACAACUUUUCAGAAUUAUUUCUUCAAUAUUUGGUGACAUAGAAAGGUCUGGUAUUCUAGUAAGUUUCCGAGAAUAACUCAGGUCGAGCCUUUUCAAGUUGGGUAAAUUCUGCCACAAAUAGGAAAUGAAUGAGGUAACAAAUAAAAACUACUUUAUCUAUUUUUCUUCGGUAAAAUAUUAGCUACAUCAUCUAAUCUAUUCACUUUAUAUUUUACAUUACUUCAAAACCACUGUUAAAAAAAAUCACACUGUCAACUAACAAAACUGUGGCUAUAAAUUUAAUAGUUAUUAUAAAAAACCACAAAAUUUAACGUGUUUUUGUUCCCUACCUCAAAUUACAUCCUAAUAAUUUGAACCUAAACUUAUUAUGUAUUUAAAAACUGAUGAUAGUAAUUUAUAAUCGAUGACAGUGUGGAAAUACUUUAUAUCAUGCAUGUAUCAACUGACAAAAUAAAAUGGUGUUGUCUGAUGAUAGUAAUUUAUAAUCGAUGACCAUCUUUCCAUAAUUUAUUUUAUUAAAUACAUAAUUUGUUGUAUAUUAUAUUGAAGUUUAUGUUAUAAUAAUAAAAAAAUACUUAAUUAGGUUUUGAGUAUCCAGUAAGACAUUUUUAAUUAAUUUUUUUAUUAAAUUUUUUAAUUAUUUAAGUACUCAAAUUUUUUAUAUUUCCAAUAGAAUAUAUGUCAUUUUUAAUUUUUGAGUUAAUUGGGUGAUACAGAAAUUAUCUUGUCACAUGAUCUUACUUACUUGUCUUUAUGUAUUAAGGAAUAUGAAGUUUUAUGAUUGGCCAUUAGACUAUAUACCUAAAAAGAGGAUGCAAACUCUUCUACAUGCUACUAAAUUUAUAACUAUCUUUAAUUAGAAACAUGCUGAGUAUGAUUCUUAUGAUAUAUGUAUAACUGUGUGGUUCAAAUAAAAGAAAUUUCAAAUCGAAUAAUGUGGAGAAGCACAAAGGAAUUGCAAAUGAAAACCAGUAGAUGUAUAAUACAGAAAACAUGCUUGUAUAACUUAUUUUUGUCUUUGAAAGUUUAGAACACAAAGAAACAUAGAUAGCUUGAAAAACCUGAUCUCCUUCCCAGAGUUGUUCAAGAUGGCAGUAUGGCAUUUCGAGGGUCACUAGAUUUUGCGGGCAAAAGUUUGGAGGCAAAGAUCUUUGAGGGAAAUGUUUCCAAUAAAGAAUCUUUAGAGUGUCUGGCAGACCUACAAUAGAUGAUUCAAGAGACACAUUUGACGUGUAUUUUGGCGUGUUGAGCAUAAGCAUCCUAAGAUUGUCCAUCUUUUCGAAACUUUGUGCAUGUACUACAACUUCAUUUACUUUGCUCGUAUCUAGUGAUAUACACUGUAUUGCAUCUAACCCCUGAAAGUAAAUCAAUGUAAUUAGAAAAAAAAAGCAUGAAAUGUUGCUGUAUGGUUAUGGGCAGAUUGAUGAGAUAUGGUAACCUUCGGAUACUGAUCAUGAAGUGACAUAAAGGAGAAGGAAGCGUUACUGAAGGAGAGUAAUGGAAAUUUAUGAGAAAUUAAGCCGUUGGUUACAGAGACUAGGUAGGGACCGAGUCAUCUAUACCAGGGACCGAGUCAUCUAUAAGAGGAGGCAGAGACGAAGAGUAGGGGUAGGAAAAAAAGAUAUGGUUUUUAUAUUAUCUUUGAUGCUCUAGCUAAGGAUCAUCUGUCCUAAAACAGUUGCAUUUCUGGAUGUUUAAUGACAGCUCAAUAGUUUGCAGUUUUUUCACAAAGUAACAACAGAAUAUACCUUGUUUUUUCUUAAAACAUCACAAAUUUCCUCAGCAUUAAACAGUCGGCUGCGUUUUCCAGGAUGCCGACGACACUCUUUACGAACAAUUUCUUGACCCAUUUCUUGUAUUAGAUCGUGCAUCAUAAUAAUACCAUUAAAGACAGAUAUUAGGCACCUAUCUUUGAGAACAUCCAUUACAAUCUUAGUAGAGAAACCAUUGCAGUCAUCAAGUAUUUCUGCCAGCACAAUCUCCUGGUAUCCUCUAUAAAAGCAAGCAAUGUCAAGAAAUAUAUUCUUCUCCACCUCCUCGAGCCCAUCAUAACUUAAUUUUAAUACAUUGAAAAUACCAUGAUGUUGGCCCUUUUUCAACUUUUGCAACUGACUUUCCCAUGCUUCUUUUGUUCUGUCACAAAGCAAUGAGCCCAAAAUCUGGAGAGCUAACGGAAUCCCUUUUGCAUAACUCAACACCUUUCCUGACAGUUCCUUGUAAGCAAUUUCUUCUGAAGAUUUUUGUUUAAAAGCAUGUAAACUAAAAAGUCUUAGAGAAUCAUCAGAAUUCAACUCCUUAACUUCGUAGAUAUCAUCAGCUCUAGCAUUCUUAAGCACUUGUCUGUCUCUACUGGUCAUAAUGAUUCUACUGCCCUGCCUAAAACUAUCACUCCAUCCUAUUAAUUUUUGAAGUUGAGCUGAAUCGGUAACAUCAUCAAGAAUGAGGAGAGCCUUUGUCCGUUUGAGCCUUUCUUUGUAAUAUGGUAAAGAAGAAGAUUUCUCUUCCUUUAGAAGCUCAGACAGAUAUUUUGUUCUGAUACUAUCUAUUCCAUCUCUUUGUAUUUUUUCUUGAACGUCUAAAACAAGGCUGCUGGAAUCAAACUGCAAUGCCAAUUUCUGAUAUAUUUGAUCACAAAUUGUACUUUUUCCUAUUCCUCCCAUGCCCCAAAUUCCUAUGAUCCGAACAUCCGGUGACUCAGGAUGCAACAAGGACUGAAUUCCUUCAAUAUGUUUUUGAAUGCCGAUGAUUCCUUGAUCAUAACUGGUGGAAUAAAGAUUCAAUUUUCCCAAAAUAUCUUCCACAAUUUUUUCAACAAGUUUGUGGUCAUUCCUGGCAGAUGAUUUAGAAAAUAAAGUAUAAGAAUUCAAGCACAAAAGCUAAACUAAACUAAAGAAAAAUUCAGAGUCAAGAGGAGUGAACAUCAUUGAAUAGAUUCACAUAUCGAUUCUAGUUUCGAGUUCUGGAUAAAAUAAAUAAAUUAAAAAGUUGAAGGUAAGUUUAGGACGUUAUCUUCCUAUAUUAGUUUGGUUGGUUUAGUAAUUGCAAAUCAAGAUCGCAGAAAUUCUACAGUAACCGUAUGUGACUUCUGAUAAUAGGGAGCAGAUUUGUAGGUACAAAGUUAAGCUAUAACAUGUGAUAUGGUUCAGAUCCAUGACCGACUAAGAGAAAUGAAAAAAGAAACACUUGAUUUAUGGUGAGAUGAACACAAUUUUAGUAAAUGAAAAGAGAUCCUGAUUAUCUAAUAAAUAUAAUGACCUGGUGACUUUUGAAUCCCAGCCUGCAAGUUCAGCAGCUUCGGUUAGAGCAUCCUUCCAUCCUUGCACUCUGUCCAUGUCGUGCUUAAGCCGCUGUUCAUGCUCAUCAAAUGCUUCUUUGAAUCUUUGUUCCUGCUUCCUAAUAGUUGAUGGAUCCACCUUGUAGAAAACAGGUAUCACAUCCCUUCCAUAUCUCUUCUUGCAUUCAAGUAUCUUAGUGAGUUCAUUCAAGCACCAAGUGGAAGAUGCAUAGUUUUGGGAGAAAACGAUGACAUAAAUCUUUGAUUCUUCUAUUGCAGAGAGUAGUGCAGGUGAAAUUUCUUCGCCCCGGGGUAGUCUCUCGUCAAUAUAUGCUUGAAUGUUCUUCCUUUGCAGUGCUGCAUGAAGGUGACGAAUGAAGUUGUCACGUGUGUCUUCCCCUCUGAAGCUGAGAAACACAUCAUGCUUUGUUAGAGAAGCAGACACGGGGAAUGAUGAAGGACUUCCUGACAUUGGAAUCAAUUUUCUCUCUUUUCUCUUGCAACUCUCAGUGCCUUUGUUUGUACACAAAUCAACUCUUGGAAAAGUCUUUGAAUUUUCUCAAAAGUAUCUUUCACAGAUCACGCACGCGUGGAAACAUAGCUGUGUUAAAAUCCUUAUUUAAGUUUUAAUUGGGCCUUGUAGUGGGCUUUGUAAUGUGCUUUUCUUUUCUCCUACAUUGCUUUAUAUAUACACCUCAGCGUUUGCUUUCUACAUUUCAUUUUACAAAAUACAUUCUCUCAUUUUCUACCUUUUAUAUUGUCUGAUUCCGUUCUCUCUUUAUUUUUUUUCAAAUCUCUUUUGCUUACAAUUUUUUUUUCUUUUUUAAGAAAUGUACUUUUUCAAGUUUAAUUUAAUUUUAUAAAACAGUCAUCUUUCUACAGUAUUAUCAUCUCUUACGUGAGAUUAUUAUAUAUUAUUUGGUGAUCUAAGUAAACUUUUAAUCCAAUAAACUUUAAAAAUAAUUCUAAUACUAUAUUAAAAAAUGAAAUUUAAAUCUAAUUCUAUUUUAUAAAAUAUAUUUAUUCAAUGCUAAAAUAUCUCUAAUUGAGUAGGGAUGUUCAAAAUACUUAUUGGUUCUUGAUUUUCACUUUCACUUUUAAGGUUUUUCUUCGCAGACACGUAGUAAACAGAAAUACAAAAAUAUGAGUCAAUGGAAGAGUCUAACGAUUCGCAGAAUAUUAUGGUGUCUAGCUUUAUACCGCAUUAAUGCGAGGAGUUUCUUUAAUAUUUUUACUCAAUUUAUUUAUUUUUAAUUCUUUUUUUUUUCACACCUUUUACAAAUAAAGAAUCGUAUUUCUUUAAUAUAUUUUAGAAAAUAACCACUAAACCUUAUUAUAAAAUAUAUUUAUGAAAUGCACGUGUAAGAAUAACAGGAAAAAUAUUACUACGAAAAACAAUAUAUUAAUAUUAAUAUGUUUCUUAAUAAAUUUCAUACCCACUGUCUAUUUAUAAAUUAAUAUAAUAUAAAUAUCUUUAAUGAUGUUUUUGUGGGUAGCUUAUUUCUCUAACGCAGAAUAUUAUGGUGUCUACUUUUAUAAAACAUUACAUUUUGAUUUUAAUAUUUAUUAAAUAUUUUUUAUUUGGGAUGAAGUAACGAUGAUGAAUCGAAUGUGUUUUGAAGUCUGACAUAACUUUUAGAGAUGUUAUGAGAACGGUUAAUGACGGAAAUUAUCAAAAACCUUUUGGGGGAAGGUUGUGGUUUUGGGAGGUGAUUUCAGGUAAAUAUUGUUAGUGGUAAAAAAAGGAUUAAGAUAUGAUGUUGUGAAGUCAACAAUCAACUUUUCUCAUUUGUGGUUAAAUUGUCGAGUCUUAAAACUUUCUCAAGGAAAUCCAACACGAUCUAUUGAUUGAGCCCACAAAAACACCUUUGUUAUCAUUGGUGAAUUUUGUUUAUCCUAAUUUAUUGACUGAUAUGUUAUGUCCUGAGUACUUUGAGUAUGGAGCAAUACUUUGUCCGACAACUGAAUCAGUAGAGCAAGUGAAUGAUUUUAUUUUAUCUCUGUUAAGUGGUAAAUAAAUAAAUUAUCUUAGUUCGGAUACACCUUGCCAAUUAGAUUAAGAUCAAGAAUUUAAAGUGAAUGGUUCACUUCUGAGUUCUUAAAUGAGAUAAAAUGUUCAGAGAUACUAAAUCAUCGCCUUCAUUUGAAAAUUGGCGUGCCUAUUAUGCUUUUGAGAAAUAUUGAUCAAACCAACGGUCUUUGUAAUGGAACAAGGUUGCAAGUUAUUGAUUUGAAGAAAAUGUUAUUUGUGCAAUAGUUCUAACAGGAACAAAUAUUGGUGAUAAAAUCUUUAUUUCAAUAAUGAAUUUGAUCCCUUUAGAUGUAGGUAUGCCAUUCAAAUUCUAGAGAAGACAAUUUCCAAUAACUUUAUGUUUUGCAAUGACAAUUAAGAAAAGUCAAAGUCAAUUAUUGACCAAAGUUGGUUUAUAUUUUUCACGUCCAAUUUUCACACAUUGAUAGUUGGAUGUAGCUAUUUAUAGAGUUAGAAAGAAAAAAAUUUAAAAAUUCUAACUCUUGAUGAAGAUGGGAAUGCAACAAACAAGAAAAAGAAAAUGUUUACACUGAAACUUUUGACAAUAUUUAAAAACAAUAGAAUUAUAUGAUAAACUUGGAAUAAUGGCUAAUUCUCCCUGCACCCAAUAUUUUUGAACAUGCAACUUUUAAAUUUGCUCCCUUGUAAUUAUAUUUUCUUAUGUGUGAUGUAGUAACAGUUGCCUUAUUUAAAAUGUUACUAAAUAACAUAUCAUUUAUAUCUGUUAUUUUUAUUCUGUUCUGAUUUUAUAUAUAUGUUAACGAAGUUGAGAAUUUUCUGAUUUUACAGGUCCAUGCACAAACCUAAUAUAAUGAUAUGAUAUUCAAUAUCAAGAGGUACUUGUCGUAAAACGGGGAAUAUGAGAGACUCCAUAGAAUGAAGAAAAAGUAUAAAGAGGAUUUACAAAUUACCCUUUCAAAUGCAGCUCCUCAGAAUUUCUUAAUGCCUUCACUGCAAAUGCAACCCAAAUAAGCUAAAGAAGUUAAUCAAACUAUACAUUAAGAGUUUCAAGAAAAUGAAACUCUGGAACAACAGAGCAACCCAUCUCAUGCUCAAUAGAAACAUCAAACUAUAUCUAACAAUAACUUAGAAAUCUUUGUCAACAAUUGAACGAACCCACUCCUAAAAUGCCAUUGAAAAUGUAAAUAAAUAAAUAAAAAUUAAAAAUGAGAAUUCAUAAUAAAAUUUCAUCGUGUUGAAACUUGUAAUUUAGAAGUAUUACGAUAAGCCAGUUUUGAUCCUCGCGAAUGAAAGACUAAUUAGCAGAAAGACUGUGCAAAAUUCCUUCCACUGGAUUCUUCGAUGUCAACUGAUUUGGUAUAAAGAGGACAUAUGCCGCAUUCUUUUAUUGUGAUAACUGAUUUCAACUCUCUCACAAGUAAUUUGCGAUUUGACCGAUUUGGCCGCAGAAAGGGAUCAUCAUAAUCAUGCGAACUGAUCUCAAAAGUGAAGCUGCGAGCAUCACACAGCCUAAGGCUCAUGCCGCUUGCCCUUAGGGACUCCAAGUUAAAUUUCCACACCAAUGUGUGAUCUUUAUCAACACCUCUCUCUUCAUCAUCCCAUCUGAAAUAGUUGUUUAACACAUCAUUAUUUGGAAUUAUCCGUGUGCCAUGAUCAUCAGAUUCAAAUUUUAGGCUGUAACCAAAGGAACCAUAUCUACCUUUAACAACUUUCGUAUCUAACACUUCAAAAACCACACACAAAGCGAAACCACUGAGCCUAUCAUCGCUUAAAAAACUUAAAUCUUCAUUUAUAGUCACUGAAUGUCCCUUCCCACGAAAAUGGAACCAACCAGGAACUGCACUCCCUGGAAAACAGAAGAACACACACCUAUAUCUAUCGUCGGUCAUCCUAAGCCUUGCAUCCUCCUCAAUGUUAGCACGACCACCUGAAUCCAGUUGUUGAGCAUUGGUCAAAAGAAAUUUGAAGAAACCCUCUUUGGAAUUUGACAAGUUUGGAACAAGAGAAUUGGACAUCACUCUUCUAAUGGAUGGGCAAUCCAAUGCCACUAGUUUUUUUAGAAAUGGUGGAAUCUCUGGGAUGCAUUCAAGCUUUUUGCAGUCGCUUAAAUCAAGCGAUUUCAAGCUUGAAAGAUGAGCAACGCUCUCAGGAAGGUUCACAAUUCCGCUAUCACACAGUGACAGUUCCAUUAAUGACGUCAAGCGACCGAUAUCUCUAGGGAUUUCUGUUAAUCUGGCACACCCCGAACAAUCAAGUUUAGAGAGAAGCUUGAGAUUAACAAUGGAGUUUGGAAGUGACUCCAGAUCAGUGCAUUUGCGGAGCUCCAGGGAUCGAAGAUUAACCAAAUUGGCAAAUGAGGAAGGCAGUUCUUUAACAGCCGUACAUAUCAAGUUAAUGUGAUCAAAAGUAGGAGCCGGCUCUGUGAUCUCUGGGAAGGUCCUCAGACUUGAGCAACCACACAAAUCAAGGUUCCUCAACUUCAAAUUGAAAAUGGUGCUUGGAAAAGUUUGUAGUGAACUACAGUGGGUAAGGUCUAACUUGCAUAGUCUGGUGAGGCUUCCAAUGGAAGAUGGAAUAAUCUCAAGAUUGAAGCAACUGCACAAACUCAGUUGUUGAAGCCCUACCAAACGGCACAAGGAUGAAGGUAGUGCCUGUAUGGCUGUGUCGUCUAAGAUGAGCACCACUAGAUCUUCCAACGUGUCCUGAAUCUGGGGUAAAUUUUCCAAUUUUGAGCAACCACGGAGUGAAAGUUGCUUUAGGAACUUCAUAUCAGAAAGGUCAAAUGGAAAGAUUGUAAGGGAAGAACAGUGAGAGAGAUCUAAGUGACAGAGCCUCUUGAGAUUUUGAAAGUUUGAGGGUACACCUUCGAGUAUUGUCGACACUUCACAUUGUGAGUAUAUAGUAUUAUUACCCACUUCUUCUUCGUUAUAUCUGUCAAAACUAAUUGAGGAAAUUUCACUGGAAGUUGGGAAAAUACCUUUAGCAUUAUGGAAUUUAACAGUCCCUCCCAAAAGUAAACUUGAGAAAGUUGGACGUUGACCCUCCAGUUUCACAUGAAGGUAUCUGGGUUGACUGGUUGAAAACAUUUCAAGCUCCUCACAGUGAGAAAGAAUGAUCAAUCCUGGAGAUGUGGAUAAAAUCUUGUUGGGAAUAUUUACACUUUUGAGAUGAUAACAAUGAUCUAAACAUAAACAACUGAGCUUGCUGAGGAAUAUCGAAGAGUGAACUUUAAUCAACUUUUGACAAUAACUCAGAAUUAGUUCUUCAAUAUUCGGUGACAGAGAAAGGUCUGGUAUUCUAGUAAGUUUCAGAGAAUGACUCAGGUUGAGCCUUUUCAAGUUGGGUAAAUUCUGCCACAAAAAGUAAAUGAAUCAGGUAACAAUGAAAAACUAAAAUAAAGUUUUAUGCAAUUUUAUCUAUUUUUCUUCGGUAAACUAUGAGCUACAUCAUCUAUCGAGUUUAUAUUUUACAUAAAACCACUGUUAAAAAAAUCACACUGUUAACUAACAAAAUUAUGGUCACUAUAAAUUUUAUAGUUAUUAUAAAAAUUCACAAAAUUUAACGUGUUUUUGUUCUCUACCUAAAAUUACAUCCUAAUAAUUUGAACCUAAGCUUAUUAUGUAUUGAAAAACUUACUAUAGUAAUUUAUAAUCCAUGACAAUGUCGAAAUACUUUAUACUAUGCAUGUUAAAAUUUGAUAAAAUGUCGAAAUACUGACAAAAUAAAAAUGGUGUUUUCCGAGAGUUAAAAUUAAACUUUAGUUAAAAUAAGUCCAUCUUUACAUAUUUUAUAAUUUGUUGUAUAUUAUAUUGAAGUUGAUGUUAUAAUAAAAAAAUGACUUAAUUAAUCGAAAAAUGUGGAGAAAACACAAAGAAAUUGCAAAUGCUUGUAUAAUUUAUUUUUAUCUUUGAAAGUUUAAAAGACAAAGGAACAUAGAUAACUUGAAAAACCUGAUCUCCUUCCCAGAGUUGUUCAAGACGGCAGCCUGGCAUUUCGAGGAUCACUAGAUUUUGUGGGCAAAAGUUUGGAGGCCAAAAUCUUUGCGGGAAAUCUCUCCAAUAAAGAAACUUUAGAGUGUCUGGCAGACCUACGAGAGAUGAUUCAAGAGACACAUUUGAUAUGUAUUCAGUUGAGUAGAGUAAAAACGUCCAAAGAUCAUCCAACUCUUUACGAGACACAUCUGAUAUGUAUUUAGUUUUAUUUUGCUCGUAUCUAGUAAUAUACACUGUAUUGCAUCUGACCCCUGAAAGUAAAUCAAUGUAAUUAGAAGAAAAAAACAUGAAAUGUUGCAUUGCAGGAUGUUUGAUGACAGCUCAGUGGUUUGCAAUUUUUCACAAAGUAAAUUAAUGACAGGUCAGUAGUUAUAUACCUUAUUCUUUCUUAAAACCUCACAAAUUUCCUCAGCAUUAAACAAUCGGCUGCGUUUUCCAGGAUGCUGAGGACACUCUUUACGAACAAUUUCUUUACCCAUUUCUUCUAUUAGAUCGUGCAUCACAAUUCUACCAUCAAUGACAGAUAUUAGGCCCCUAUCUUUCAGAAUAUCCAUUCCAAUCUUAGAAGAGAAACCAAAGUCAUCAAGUCUUUCUGCUACCUCAAUCUCCUCGUGACCUCUAUAAAAGCAAGCUAUGUCAAGAAAUAUAUUCUUCUCCUCCUCCUCCAGCCCAUCAUAACUUAAUUUUAAUACAUUGAAAAUACCAAGAUGUUGGCCCUUUUUCAACUUUUGCAACUCACUCUCCCAUGCUUCUCUUGUUCUGCCAUAAAGCAAUGACCCCAAAAUCUGGAGAGCUAACGGAAUCCCUUUUGCAUAUCUCAACACCUUUUCUGACAGGUCCAUGUAAGAUUUUUCUGCUGAAGAUUUUUGUUUAAAAGCAUGUAAACUAAAAAGUUUAUGAGAAUCAUCAAAAUUCAACUCCUUAACCUCGUAGAUAUCAUCAGCUCCAGCAUUUCUAAGCACUUGUCUGUCUCUACUGGUCAUAAUGAUUCUACUGCCCUGCCCAAAACUACCACUCCCUCCUAUUAAUUUUUUAAGUAUAGCUGAAUCGGUAACAUCAUCAAGAAUGAGGAUAGCCUUUGUCCGUUUGAGCCUUUCAUUGUAAUAUGAUAAAUCAGGGGAUUUCUUUAUCUCUUCCUUUAGAAGCACAGACAGAUAUUUUCUUCUGAUACUGUCUAUUCCAUCUCUUUGUAUUUUUUCUUGAACGUCUAAAACAAGGCUGCUGGAAUCAAACUGCACUGCCAAUUUCUGAUAUAUUUGAUUACAAAUUGUAGUUUUUCCUAUUCCUCCCAUGCCACAAAUUCCUAUGAUCCGAACAUCCGUUGACUCAAGAUGCAACAAGGACUGAAUUCCUUCAAUAUUUUUUUCAAUGCCGAUGAUUCCUUGAUCAUAACUGGUGGAAUAACGAUUCAAUUUUCUCAAAAUAUCUUCCACAAUUUCUUCAACAAGUGCGUGUUCUGGCCUGGCAGAUGAUUUAGAAAAUAAAGUAUAAGUAUUCAAGCACAAAAGCUAAAGUAAACUAAAGAAAAAUUUUACAGUAACCGUUUGUGACUUCUGAUACUAGGGAGCAGACUUGUAGGUACAAAGUUAAACUAUAAGAUCAGAUAUGGUUCAGAUCCAUGACCGACUAAGAGAAAUGAAAAAAGAAACACUUGAUUUAUGGUGAGAUGAACACAAUUUUAGUAAAUGAAAAGAGAUCCUGAUUAUCUAACAAAUAUAAUGACCUGGUGACUUUUGAAUCCCAGCCUGCAAGUUUAGCAGCUUCAGUUAGAGCAUCCUUCCAUCCUUGCACUUUAUCGUGCUUAAGGUGCUGCUCAUGCUUUUCGAAUGCUUCAUUGUAUCUUUGUUCCUGCUUCCUAAUAGUUGAUGGAUCCACCUUGUAGAAAACAGGUAUGACAUCCCUUCCAAAUCUCUUCUUGCAUUCAAGUAUCUUAGUGAGUUCAUUCAAGCACCAAGUGGAAGAUGCAUAGUCUUGGGAGAAAACGAUGACAUAAAUCUUUGAUUCUUCUAUUGCAGAGAGGAGAGCAGGUGAAAUUUCUUCGCCCCUGUUUAAUCUGUAAUCAAUAUACGCUUCAAUGUUCUUCCUCUGCAGCGCUGCAUAAAGGUGACUAAUGAAGUUGUCACGUGUGUCUUCCCCUCUGAAGCUGAGAAACACAUCAUGCUUUGUUAGAGAAGUAGACACGGGGAAUGAUGAAGAACUUCCUGACAUUGGAAUCAAUUUUCUCUCCUUUCUCUGCAAAUCUCAGAUUCCUUUGUUUGUACCAUUUCUACCUGAAGAAGUGUUUAAAUUUUCUCAAAAUACCUUGCACAGCGUGUUCUGGUCAGACAUAAAGAAAAAGACAAAUAUUAAGUUAAUAGAAUAGUCAACAAUUUAAAAAAUAAGUAUGAAAUAUAGAUAUAUAUCAUUAUCACGUGUGGAAGCUACGUCGUCUUGUAUUGGAUUUUCUAAUCUGCCUUUUAUCUUGUCUCAUUCUUCUUUAUCUUUUUUCUCUCAUCUCUCUUGCUUACGAUUUCUUUGCCUUUAUUCAGAAAUUUUAUUUAUAAUAAACCUUCAAUAAUAUUUGUACUUUCUAGCAUAUAGAAUACUUAAUGGAUCCUUUUCUGAUUUUUCUUUUCUAAAGUGCAAUUGAUAUUUUAAAUGUUUUUCUAUUUAAUUUUCCUUUCUUAAUGACACAUAAAAUGGUUCAGUGCACAAUUAAUUACUCUCACCUUAGAUUUCAUUCAUCUCAUUCCAUUUCCACACUCAAAUCAUUCUCACAUUUGUUUCUACCUGUUUCACAAAGUUUUAGUUAAAAUAUGGAAAUUAAUGUUCAAGAACCCUACUUAAUAUUAAUAUUCAACAAUUUAAAAUAUUAAAAUGCAAAUUAAUCUUUCUUAAUAAUGUCAUUUUUAUGUAAAAAAUAAAAUGUAGUUUAGUCAUUUAUACUUAGAUGGAUAAAGAUGGUUUUAGAAAAAAAAAUGCAUUUUAUUUCAAAGGUUAUCUAAGCUCUGAACUCAUUUAUGAAUUAAUAAUAAUAAAUAAUAUGUAAUUGUAUUCCAAUACCAUAUAAUUUUUUUUAUUGGGUGCGUUUCUGAUGAAUUAAUUAAUGCACUCUAGGGACAAUGAUCGCUCUAGUAUUUGAUUUUUUUAUUUAUUUUAAUGUUGAAAUUAUAGCUAUUUAGUACAGAUACUAUUGACACCGACACAGAUACGACACAGACACAGAGAUACUUAAAAUCUCUAAAAUGUAAGAUACAGAGACAUUAAUCUAUAUAUUAUAUAAUUAUGAAUUAUAUAAAUUAACAAUAAAGACUUAUGUGCACAAGUAUUUUGGAGAUUAUUUUUUAAGCAGAAAUAUGUUUUUCAUGACUGUUUCACAAAGAUUUGUUUCUUAUUUUUAUAAUCAUAAUAACAAUUUAUACCAUAAAGUUUGAAUUUUAGAAAAUUAAUGUAUUUUUUCUUUUUAAAAUUCCGUUAGAAUCGUACUAAAAUUGUAAAAAAUCUAACAAAUACAUUUUGAAUUGGACAUUUCACAAAUACAUGUCCUACCAGUAUCAUACGAAUGUAAACAAAAUUCUUUCUUCAUAUGCCGCAUUCUUUUACUGUGAUAACUCAUUUCAACUCUCUCACAACUGAUUCGUAAUCUGUGGGAUGCAUUAAAGCCUUUUGCAGUUAAAUCAAUAGUAUAUGAUGAUGUGAAUGUUAUUUAUAUACUAAAUAUAAUCACAUAGUAACUUCAAAUUUGAUAAGGUACAACAUGUUACCAUAUCUCUUUUAAUUUCUUUUAUUUCAUUAUAUAUUUAGGUGUAUUUAAUUUCUUUUUAUUUCAUUGUGUAUUUAGGUGUAUUACGUAAAAUAUAUAAUUAAAAAGAAAGAAGAAUAAUGUUAUUUUUAAAUUUAAAGAAUGACAUAUAGAAAUAAACAAGCUAUUUUGAAAUUUUUAGAUUUUACAAAACAUUACAUUUUGAUUUUAAUAUUUAUAAAAUAUUUUUUAAUUUCAUAUUUAAAACACAACACUUAGUUGAGUGUGUUCCUUAGUUACUUACCAAAUAACAACAUACAUCUUAUCGGGUCUUUUUGCGACCCGACCCAAACUCAUCUCGAUCCUAGUAGGGUUCGCAUCAUCUUCAAUUGAGGAGUAGAUUUGUCAGGAGGAAAAUAAAUUGAUUUAUAAGAACAUGUGAAGUUGUUUAGAUUGAGGAAUAAUAGAUGGAUUUUGAUUAUGAUUUAUGGUAAGUUUAAAAAAAAUAGAUUUGUUUCUUUUAACAUUUUUUGUAUUAUAAUUAUUUGCUGGCUGAAUUGUUUUGAGUUAACAUGUUUUCUUGGGGUAUGAUAUUGUGAGGUUUUAUUACAUGCAGGUACGUGAAUAUUUUUUUUAUUCUAGUUGUAUAAAUCAGGAAAAAAUGUUUUUCACAAUAUAAUUAUAAUAACCGUUUAACAACCUAAAUAAUAAUAAAAUAUUAACUCAUAUUAUUUAAUUAAAUUAUUAAAUAAAAAGUAGUAAAACUGAUUGUAGGAUGGGAAUAUGAUUAUUUUUAACUGCUAGCUCCUCAUUAUUCUUUUAUAAUAAAAAACACACUAGUAGGUGUUGAAAAUCGUAAUAUAACAAACAAGUUUUGACACACGUAGGUUUGGCAAUUGUUUUAAUAGCUGAAAAUAGUAAAACAAUUUUUAAUUACCACAAACUGCAUCUUAAAUCAUAAAAAAUAGCAUUUUUUAGUUCAUAUAUAAUAACAUUUCCAUAAAUAAAUCUCCCGCCGCCAUUGAUAUUAAUCAUUAAUAAUUUUAGAUAAUAUUUUUUACUAUAAAACAUUUAAUUGAGAUUGAAUUUUUAAUUCACACUUUUUGGUCAAAGAAUAAUAUAUUUCAUUUUUUUAUUUAUUAAAUAUUUUGUAUAAUGCUGAGAAAAAAAAAUCUCACACACACACACACAUAUAUAUAUAUAUGAUCCCUAUGUCCUACAAGUACAAUAUAACAUCGUUAGUAUAAUGAAUAAAAAUAAUGAGUAUUCAAAGUCGUGUAUUUACGUAAAAGAAUAACAUGAUUUUUAAAAGAACUCACAUUAUCAGUUUAAAUUUUGACGAUAAAAUACAUUAAUUAUAUAUAUUUAUUCAAAAUUUCAAUUAUAUUAUGCAUUAAUGGUUUUAUGCUUUUAGAGGAAUCAGAGAAACUUAGAAAAGCUUAAUGAAACCCUAUGAAUAAAGGAGAUGUAAAAGAAAGAGAAAAAGGAAGUGAGAAAAGAUGAUAAUUAAUAAACACCCACUCUUCAUAACAUAGAGUCUUUAAACCUAUAUUCCCUCAAACAGCAUUUAUAAGUUAUUAUCACCCACAUGGAAUAAGGUGCCUCAAUGUGAACAAACCAAGAUCAGUAAGAAAUAUGAGGUUCAAAUAACGAAGCUGAGAAUUUUCUGGUUUUACAGCUCCAUGCACAAACCUAAUACAAUGAUAUGAUAUUCCAUAGGAUGGAGAAAAGUAUGAUAUGAAGAGGAUUUACCAAUUACCCUUUCGAAUGCAGCUCCUCAGGAUUCCAUCAUGCCUUCACUGCACAUGCAACCCAAAUAUGCUAAAGAAGUUAAUCAAACCCAAAUAUAAAGAAUUUCUAGAGAAUGCAACUCUGGGACAACAGAGUACCCCAUCUCAAGCUGAACAGAAACAUUAAACUAUAUCUAACAAUAACUUAGAAAUCUUUGUCAACAAUGAACGAAUCCAACCGUAAAAUGCCAUUGAAAAUGUAAAUAAAACAAAAUAAAUUAGAUAUGAGAAAUUCAUGAUAAAAUUUCAACACUUGUAAUGUAGAAGCAUUACGAUAAGCCAGUUUUGAUCCUCACCAAUGAAAGUCUAAUUAGCAGAAGAGGAAGAGACUAGUUGACUGGGUAGCUUUCUGCAAUGCCUAUUUUAAGGUUACGCUUCCGGCAAAAAUAUAAUAGAAGACUGCUCUCAUGUCAAAGUUUCUCAUACAUAGAACAACCCGCAAAAGAGAUUAAACAUUCCAAAAGAUGUCUCAACAGAAAUGAAAUGAGAUCCUAACAACUUGUUGGGAAAGUACUAUUUUGCCUUCAAUUCCAUUACUUCCUUUUGCCUUUAAGAGUGCAGUCAUAAUCAUCAAAAUACUUAGACUUUGUGAUAUGUCUUUUGGGCUUGCUAUUCAUCUUUUGUUGCCUCCUCUUGAGCCAUAACACUUUUGGCCUUCCUCUUCCUAUAUUCCCUUGUGUCUCUUGAAGACUGUGCAACAUUACUUCGACUGGAUUAUUCAAUGUGAACAGCACCACCAUAUUCAUCAUCUUUCUUUUUGGAAUAAAGAGGGCAUAUGCCGCAUUCUUUUACUCUGAUAUCGGGCCACCAAUGGCUGAUCUCAAAAGUGAAGCUGCGAGCAUCACAGAGCCUAAGGCUCAUGCCGCUUGCCCUUAGGGACUCCAAGUUAAAUUUCCACACAAAUGUGUGAUCUUUAUCAAGAAAUCUGCCUGCAUCCGUCAAGUUUAACACAUCAUUAUUUGGAAUGAUCUGUGUGCCAUCAUCAUCAGAUUCAAAUUUUAGGCUGUAACCAAAAGAACUAUAUCUACCUUUAAUAUCAUUCGUAUCUAACACUUCAAAAACCACGCACAAAGAGAAACCAGUGAGCCUAUUAUCGCUGCAAAAACUUAAAUCUUCAUUUAUAGUCACUGAAUGUCCCUUCCCACGAAAAUGGAACCAACCAGGAACUGCACUCCCUGGAUAACAGAAGAACACAGACCUAUAUGCAUCGUCGGUCAUCCUAAGCCUUGCAUCCUUCUCAAUGUUAGCACGACCACCUGAAUCCAGUUGUUGAGCAUUGGUGAAAUGAAAUUUGAAUACACCCUCUUUGGAAUUUGAGAGGUUCCGAACAAGAGAAUUUGACAUCACUUUUCUAAUGGAUGGGCAAUCCAAUGCCACGAGUUGUUUUAGAAAUGGUGGAAUCGGUGGGAUGCAUUCAAGCUUUUUGCAGUCGCUUAAAUCAAGCGAUUUCAAGCUCGAAAGAUGAGCAAUGCUCUCAGGAAGGUUCACGAUUCCGCUAUCACGCAGUGACAGUUCCAUUAAUGACGUCAAACGACCAAUGUGCCUUGGGAUUUCUGUUAAUUUGGCACACCCCGAACAAUCAAGUUUAGAGAGAAGCUUCAGAUUAACAAUGCAGUUUGGAAGUGACUCGAGAUCAGUGCAUUUGCGGAGCUCCAGGGAACGAAGAUUAACGAAAUUGGCAAAUGAGGAAGGCAGUUCUUUAACAGUCGUAGAUGUUAAGUUAAUGUGAGCAAAAGUAUGAGCCGACUCCGUGAUCUCUGGGAAGGUCCUCAGCCUUGAGCAACCACGCAAAUCAAGGUUCCUCAACUUCAAAUUGAAAAUGGUGCUUGGAAAAGUUUGAAGUGAAUUACAGUGGGCAAGGUCUAACUUGCAUAGUCUGGUGAGGCUUCCAAUGGAAGAUGGAAUAAUCUCAAGAUUGAAGCAACUGUGCAAACUCAGUUGUUGAAGCCCUACCAAACGGCACAAGGAUGAAGGUAGUGCCUGUAUGGCUGUGUCGUCUAAGAUGAGCACCGCUAGAUCUUCCAACGUGUCCUGAAUCUCGGGUAAAUUUUCCAGUUUUGAGCAACCACUGAGACAAAGUUGCUUUAGGAAUUUCAUAUCAGAAAGGUCAAACGGAAAGAUUGUAAGGGAAGAACAGUCAGAGAGAUCUAAGUAACAGAGGUUCUUGAGACUUUGAAAGUUUAAGGGCACACCUUCCAAGAGACUGUUGAACACCUCUGAGUCUUCUGAGUCUGUAGCAUUAUUAGCCACUUCUAUAUUAUAUCUGUCAAAAGUAAUUGACAAAAUUUCACUGCUUGGGGAAAUUUCACUGGAAGUUGGGAAAUUUAUCUCUUUCGUCAUAUCCAGUUCCUGACGCUCCAGUAUGACAUGAGGGAGAAAUUUAUCUUCAUGUUUACUGAUUGAAAACAUAUUAAGCUUCCGACAAUGGGAAAGAGUAAUCCAUCCUGGUGAUGUGGAUAAAAUGUUGCUCGGAAUAUUUACACUAUUCAGAUCAUCACAAUGAUCUAAACAUAAACAACUGAGUUUGCUGAGGAAUAUCGAAGAGUGAAUUUCAAUCAACUUUUUACAAUAACUCAGAAUUAUUUUUUCAAUAUUUGGUGACAUAGAAAGGUCUGGUAUUCUAGCAAGUUUCCAAGAACGUGUCAGGUCGAGCCUUUUCAAGUUGGGUAAAUUCUGCCACAAAAAGUAAAUGAAUCAGGUAACAAAUAAUAACUACUUUAUCUAUUUUUCUUCCUAUUUAAACUAUUAGCUACUACUAUUGAGUUUAUAUUUUACAUUACUUAAAAACCACUGUUAAAAAAGCCACACUGUGGACUAACAAAAUUAUAUUUUAAAAUAUUAUUAAAGAUAAAAUAUGAAGAUAGGGUAAUUAAAUUAAAUAUAAUUUUUAUUUUUCAGAAAUGAUGAAAAUUAUAAUUAAAUUAACUAAAUUAUAUAAAAUUCCAUUUUAUUUACAUAACUCCUUUUCAUAUUAAAAAACUAUAUAAGAUCUUGAAACUAUAAUUAAUAUCUUAAAAAUUUAAAUAAUAAUAAUUAUUUCUACUCAUCCUUAAUUUUUGUUGGUGAAAUCUUGAUUUUUGGGAUAAUAUCACUUAAACUUAAGAAAUAUUUGACAUUAAUGAACUCUAAACAAAUUUAUAUAAGAAAUCAAGACAUCACUUUCAAUCCGAAAUCUUAAACUAAUAGGUUUAUGGAUUUUCUUUAUAUGUUGUUCAUCUUACCAAUUUGAACCCAAUGCGAGACUUUCAACUCUAAGAGAUGAAGUGGUGUACUUUAUGCUUCUAGGACUUGUUAGAUAUUGAAACAUGUACCAUUGCUAAAAUGUUUGAAUGAAGGAGAAGUCAAAGUCUCUCUCCUUUAGAGAUAUUCGCUCAAGUGGCAAGAGGUUGAUUAAGCAAGAGAGAGAUCGUAUUAAUUCUCUCUUCUAUGCAAUUGUUGUCGUUCAAACAAUGUGGAAUCAUUCAAGCAAAGAAAUCUUCUUUUGGGUUAGGAAACAAGGUUUUUCAAGCGAGAUAAACUCGUCUAAAGAAUUUAACUCUAGUAGUGAAAUGUUGUUGCCAUGAUUUAGCCAAGUGUUUGUAUCUAUGAGGCUAAUGAUGAUGAUGACGAUGAUAAGAUGCAUGAAUGUGUAUACACAAGUGUAUGAUAUACCUCAUGUUAUAUAUUGUAUGUGAUUCAAUUGAUGACCAUUUAUUUUUAGGCCAUUUAUAUGUAUAUUUUGGCCCUUUUAUGAGUAUGUGACGAGAUAUACCUAAGAUUGUAUUAUGAUCCUAAUGAGUCGAAGUAUCAAACACAAAACUCAUUAUGGAAAAAAAAAGAUAUUUUGUGCAUCAGUUAUGAUAUGAUCACAACAAUUAAAGCAUGUGUGAACGGUUAAUAUUGUUCUUAAUAAGAAAACAAAUAAUAUUGUAUGUGACAUUAGAGAUGUCAAAUAGGUUUAGAAAAUUAUUAAGUUUAAUUAUCUUUUUAGUCUUUAUAUUAAUGACCAAAAGUCAAUUCAGAUUUUUAGAAAGUUCAAUAUGAUUUAAUUUUUUAAAAAACAAUUCAAUGUGAUUCCUUCUAGUAUAUUUCCCUUAUUAAAAUAUUUUUAUCUUAAUGAUUCUGCCACUGUUAAGUUAUAUGUGUUGUUAUCACAUUGAAUUGUUUUAAAAAAAUUUGGAACCACCACAUUAAAUUGUUUUAAAAAGUUAGUACUAAAUUGAACUUUUGAAAAUUGGGAGAAUGAAAUUAAAUUUUGUCUAUUAAUACAGGGACAAAAAAUAAUUGAAUCAAAUAUUUUACUAUUUUUGUGAUGUAUAUUUAUAUAUAAAUAAUUUUGAGAAUUUAGAGUUACAAUGUGUUAUAUCAUAUAUAUAUAAUUCUUUUUGGUAAUGUAUCCUGUAGUUGUAAGCAAGUAUGAUUAUAUUAAGUGGGGCGUUUCAAAUAGUGGAGACUACGCAUAUACAAAUAUCUCUUAUAAAGUAAGAAAACAAAACAAUCGUUACUCAAGAAGAUCAUGCAAUGCAUCACAGACAACAUGGGAGAUAUAUAUCAACAAUAAUAUGAGUAAAUAAUACAUUCAUGGGCCAUUAGACGAUAUGCCUAAAAAAAAUAUGCAAACUAUUAAAUUUAUAAUUAUUUUUAAUUAGAAACAUGCUGAGUAUGACUCUUAUGAUAUAUGUAUAACUGUGUGCUUCAAAUAAAAGAAAUUUCAAAUCGAAUAAUGUGGAGAAGGCACAAAGGAAUUGCAAAUGAAAACCUGUAGAUGUAUAAUACACAAAACAUGCUUGUCUAAUUUAUUUUUAUCUUUGAAAGUUUAGAACACAAAGGAACAUAGAUAACUUGAAAAACCUGAUCUCCUUCCCAGAGUUGUUCAAGAUCGCAGUAUGGCAUUUCGAGGAUCACUAGAUUUUGUGGGCAAAAGUUUGGAGGCCAGAAUCUUUGAAGGAAACCGUUCCAAUAAAGAAACUUUAGAGUGUCCGGCAGACCUACAAGAGAUGAUUCAAGAGACACUUUUGAAUUCAAUCUAGGCAUGUAGACCAUAAGCAUCAUAAGAUUGUCCAUCUUUUCGAAACUUUGUGCAUGUACUACAGCAUCUUUUACUUUGUUCGUAUGAUAUUGAUAUACACUGUAUUGCAUCUGACCCCUGAAAGUAAAUCAAUGUAAUUAGAAAAAAAAACAUGAAAUGUUGCAUUUCAGGAUGCUUAAUGACAGCUCAGUAGUUUUCUAUUUUUCACAAAGUAACAACAGCAUAUACCUUGUUCUUUCUUAAAACCUCACAAAUUUCCUCAUCAUUAAACAAUCGGCUGCGUUUUCCAGGAUGCUGAGGACACUCUUUACGAACAAUUUCUUUACCCAUUUCUUGUAUUAGAUCGUGCAUCACAAUUCUACCAUCAAAGACAGAGAUUAGACCCCUAUCUUUGAGAAUAUCCAUUCCAAUCUUAGAAGAGAAACCACAGUCAUCAAGUGUUUCUGCUACCACAGUCUCCUCUUGCCCUCUAUAAAAGCAAGCUAUGUCAAGAAAUAUAUUCUUCUCCUCCUCCUUGAGCCCAUAAUAACUUAAUUUUAAUACGUCGAAAGUUCCAAGAUCUUGGCCGUUUUCCAACUUUUGCAACUGACUCUCCCAUGCUUCUCUUGUUCUGCCAUAAAGCAAUGACCCCAAAAUCUGGAGAGCUAACGGAAUUCCUUUUGCAUAUCUCAACACCUUUACUGACAGGUCCAUGUAAGCAAUUCCUUCUGAAGAUUUUUGUUUAAAAGCAUGUAAACUAAAAAGUUUCAGAGAAUCAUAAAAAUUCAACUCCUUAACUUCGUAGAUAUCAUCAGCUCCAGCAUUCUUAAGCACUUGUCUGUCUCUACUGGUCAUAAUGAUUCUACUGCCCUGCCCAAAACUAUCACUCCCACCUAUUAAUUUUUGAAGUUGAGUUGAAUCGGUAACAUCAUCAAGAAUGAGGAGAACCUUUGUCCGUUUGAGCCUUUCAUUGUAAUAUGGUAAAUAAGAGGAUUUCUCUUCCUUUAGAAGCUCAGACUGAUAUUUUGUUCUGAUACCGUCUAUUCCAUCUCUUUGUAUUUUUUCUUGAACGUCUAAAACAAGGCUGCUGGAAUCAAACUGCAAUGCCAAUUUCUGAUAUAUUUGAUCACAAAUUGUAGUUUUUCCUAUUCCUCCCAUGCCACAAAUUCCUAUGAUCCGAACAUCCGUUGACUCAAGAUGCAACAAGGACUGAAUUCCUUCAAUAUUUUUUUCAAUGCCGAUGAUUCCUUGAUCAUAACUGGCGGAAUAACGAUUCAAUUUUCUCAAAAUAUCUUCCACAAUUUCUUCAACAAGUGCGUGUUCUGGCCUGGCAGAUGAUUUAGAAAAUAAAGUAUAAGUAUUCAAGCACAAAAGCUAAAGUAAACUAAAGAAAAAUUUUACAGUAACCGUUUGUGACUUCUGAUACUAGGGAGCAUACUUGUAGGUACAAAGUUAAGCUAUUGUGUGAUAUGGUUCAGAUCUAUGACCGACUAAUAGAAAUGAAAAAAGAAGCACUUGAUUUAUGGUGAGAUGAACACAAUUUUAGUAAAUGAAAAGAGAUCCUGAUUAUCUAAUAAAUAUAAUGACCUGGUGACUUUUGAAUCCCAGCCUGCAAGUCCAGCAGCUUCGGUGAGAGCAUCCUUCCAUCCUUGCACUGUGUCGUGCUUAAAGUGCUGCUCAUGCUCAUUGAAUGCUUCUUUGUAUCUUUCUUCCUGCUUCCUAAUAGUUGAUGGAUCCACCUUGUAGAAAACAGGUAUCACAUCCCUUCCAUAUCUCUUCUUGCAAUCAAGUAUCUUAGUGAGUUCAUCCAAGCACCAUGUGGAAGAUGCAUAGUUUUUGGAGAAAACGAUGACAUAAAUCUUUGAUUCUUCUAUUGCAGAGAGGAGUACAGGUGAAAUUUCUUGGCCCCUGAGUAAUCUGUAAUCAAUAUAUGCUUGAAUGUUCUUCCUUUGCAGCGCUGCAUAAAGGUGACUAAUGAAGUUGUCACGUGUGUCUUCCCCUCUGAAGCUGAGAAACACAUCAUGCUUUGUUAAAGAAGCAGACAUGGCCAAUGAUGAAGGGUUUCAAUGUUCUCUGCAACUCUCAGAUCCCUUUGUUUGUAAGCAACUUCCAUAUAUUCUAUUAGGAAGGAAAAUAUAUAUUUCUACCAUUCCUACCACAAAUUGAAAAAGCCUUUCAAUUUUCUCAAAAUAUCUUUCACAGCUGUGUUCUGUCAGAUACGAAACAUUGAGUCAAUGGAAGAGUCAACAAUUGGCAGAAUAUUAUGGUGUGUAGCUUUAUACCAUUCUUACAAUAUUUGAUUGGUUGAAUAUAUACAAUAUGACUAAUGAACUUUUUUCUUUUCCGUAUUCCACGAUAAUUCCCUAGGCACCCUAUUAUACACUUUCUUAUCAACGGAAACCAUGUCUGUCCUUUUAUAGUUUUAAUCCUAUAAUAUCUUUCCAUUAAUCAUCAUUAUCACUCUUCAACCUUCAUAUCAAGUGUAUUGAUUUCAUACUUCAUCAGCUAGACAUAAUAAAAUCUCAAUAAUCUUUUAUACUGUCAACAUUUAUAAAAAAUAUUUCCUUCAAUAAUAUUUGUACUUUCUAGCAUAUAGAAUACUUAAUGGAUUCUUCUGUGAUUUUUCUUUCCUAAAGUACAAUUGAUAUUUUAACAGAUGCCGAAAGGUCUUGAAUAUGAGGCUGUUUCGAAAUGAAAAUUGGGGUAAAGCAUUUUCAAGUUAACAAGUUUUGUUGGGUGAGUGAGUGAUCAGUGCUAGCAUUUUCAAUCUCAGUUAUAGAAUGUAAAGAUUUACACAUUUAUUUGCUGAUUAAUAAUUUAUUUAUUGAAUUAAAUGUUUUAACAGUGAGUAUGGAUUCUUGAAUGAAUGUAAUCAUGGUGUAGAAUGUACAUAGUACAUAUAGUGAGUUGGAUUGAAAUGUUGAACACGUUUUCCUCUGCAAAGAUUCAGGAUAUUUAUGAACUUGCUAUAAAUUGUUUUAACUUUUCUCUGCAACUCUCAGUCCCUUUGUUUCUACCAUUUUGUUUUUGAAAAGCCUUUCAAUUUUCUCAAAAUAUCUUUCACUGCUGUGUUCUGUCAGAUACGAAACAUUGAGUCAAUGGAAGAGUCAACAAUUCGUAGAAUAUUAUAUUAUGGUGUCAAUAUUUAAUAAAUUUAUUUAUUUCUUUAACAUAUUUUAGAAAAUAACCAGUAAACAUAAAACUUUUAGUAUGACUAAAAGAAUAAAGAUAGUGUAAGAAUAACAGGAAUAACAUUACUACAAAUAACAAUAUAUUAAUAUUAAUAUGUUUCUUAAUAAAUUUUACACCCACUGUCUAUUUAUAAAUUAAUAUAUUAUAAACAUCUAUUGAUUUUUUGUGGGUAGCUUAUUUCUGUAACAUUUUAAAUUAAUUUUUUAGAUUUUACAAAACAUUACAUUUUGAUUAUAAUAUUUAGGACUGUGAUGCAAUUUCUGCAAUGAAGGCUGGCAGACUAAGUUUCUCCAAGCCCAAUUAAUACUGGGUUGAAAAUUCUGAGAAGAGGGUGAGUAUGAUGCUGCGGUCAUGAUCUAUGUAUUAAAGUGUUAAGGCAUGGGUUUGGUUGACAGGACAAUACUGGUUUUUCAUUGCUACUACUUAAUAUGAUUCUUUCUUACUGCUAUAUGAAUUUGCUGUCAAAUAGCAGUAAAUAAAAGACUUCAAAUAAAGCAUGUGUUUAUCAUACAUGGACUAAUGCAGCAGUUUUAGUAGAAGGGGCUAAUAUGAUUUUAAUCUAGAACAAGAUGGCUAAACCCAAAGAUGGUGGGAAUAAUAUCCUCAAAUCAAUUGUUUUGGUUUUCAGUGUAAUGUCAUUUGUAAGUAUCAAAAUUUGUUUGUUAUCACAUUGGAAGGUAGUAUCUGUCAUGAAAUUUGUGGAAGACCUUUACCUAUGUUUGCUUUGGGUCUGUUUUACGCCCUCUCGAAUUAAGUAAAUUUUUAAUUGCCAUCAUGAAAUUAGGCUAAAUAUGUGUAGUUUUGAGCACUUUCUUUCUUCCAUUUCAAUUCAUAGUUUCAUACAUAUUCAAUAUCAUGUGGGAAUUAAGUUCUUGCUUUUAAGGUGAAUAACAGUUUGUAUUCUUGCAGAAAACUAUUUUCUAAUGCAUAUAAAUUUCAUUUUCUAUUUUCAGCAUUGGAUUAUGUUAUGUAAUUUUUCCUUUGUAUUAUACAGAGUAGGAUUUUAAUGUUUCUACUGAACAGUGCUAUCUUUUUUCGUCCAUAUUCUGAUUUUGUUCAAUUUUUUUCAGUAUGUGCCACAUGCAGAUCAGAUGUAAGGAAUUUUCUAAAUUUUUUUUCAAGCUUUCUUGUUUGCUUAAAGUUUUCUGUAAGUAUUUAACUGUCUUAAGUUGUUAAUGAGGACUAAGGACUGAAAAAGAGAAUUAGCCAUGACAUGGUGGCAUUAUCCUUCUUCAAAACCAUUAGUUUUUUUUCCUACAAAGAUACAUGUCAAGAAAGCAAACCAGGAACAAAAGUGAUGUUUAUGAUUGCUUUCUCUCUUGUUUACUUGCUUUCUUUUUGUUGGACAAUUGUCUUAAUUGCAUUCACACCUAACCUGCAGUAGUUUCAGUCCCUUUGGGGUUGUCAUAAUUGCAGCCUCAAGAGUGGUGGUGUAGUCCAACAUCAACCAGUGAUAUAGUUCAAAUAUAGCAUAUACAUGAAAGUCGUGUUGAUAAUCAAAGGUUGCUUCAUCUUAACUAAUAACAUGUAAAUGUCAUUUGAAUGGUUAAAAAGGAAUUCACCAGUGUAACACAAAAUGAAUGGAUUGCUUGGUUAUGUGUCAACUGUUGUACUUUUUUUGAGUUGCUUGAAAAUAAUUAAAAUUUGUUUUCAUCUAGAUCUUGGUUUUUUCCUAUGAUCAAAUCUCGAUUUAUUUCUGUGCAGAACUUUCUUGUGGACAUAAAAGGACCAGCUAUAGCAUUUUUACCGGUGCUUGCAUUUGAAGGAGGAACUAGAAGAAAUAUACCUAGGUUUGAGGUGUGUAUAAAUUAUUUUUGAUGUAUUUCGUGAUGUAGAUGUAAAAUAAUGCAAUACUUUGUUUUUAGUUUCAAUGUUACUCUUUAUCUGCAGGUUGGAAACAUAUCUUGAUGAAAUAUAGAAACAUUUUUAUUCAUAAUAUAUAUAUAAGGAUUACACAUUCAUAAUUAUUUCUUUCUGUCGUAGCAUUGUCUACCUCAAAUCACUGCAACUUUCUGUUGUUGGUAUAAAAAUACAAUAUUUUAAUCCCAGUUUUGAUAGCCUCUAUUCUUCAGUGGUUGAGAUAUUUUUUAUAAGAAUUUAGAAGUUCUGAGAUAUUUAUGAUAAGAAUUUCAAGUUCUUUGUUACUAGCAGUUUAAUGGUUAUAUCAUUUUUGUUCUCUGGAAAAUAUCUUAUACAAAAUCGGUACUUAGAUUUGGUAUUUAUAUUGUUCAUAUGUAGAAAUCUAAUACUAGCAAAUUUUGUCUAAUUUAAAAGCAAUUACAUUCUACUCUUUGGAAUAUGUUCUGGCCUGCUUUUAUGAAUUAUUUGAAAAUUUGUAAUUAUAAAAUUUAGUCUUUGAAAUUAUAAAUUUAAUAGAGAAGCAUCCAUACUAAACUUUUAUAUUAUAAAUUGUCAGUUUUAUAUUGAAAACAUAUCCCCUUUAGUAUAAGACUUAAAGGAGAUGUCUUUUGGUAUAAAAACUGAAAUAAAAAAUAUUUUAACUAUAUGGGUCAAAUGGAUGAUUAAACUUAUAAAAUGUACAAUUAAACUUAUAAAUUAUAAUAAACGAUACUUUAAUUUUAAACUAUAUUGAACUUUUAUUAAUGUUCUCGCUUUUCUUUAAAAGCUAUUGAACUCUAUCUAACAAUAACUUAAAAAUGAGAAAUUCAUGAUAAAAUUUCAACACUUGUAAUCUAGAAGUAUUACGAUAAGCCAGAAGAGGAAGAGACUAGUUGACUGGGUAGCUUUCGGCGUUCCUCUUCCUAUCUUCCCCUGUUUCUCCUGAAGAGUGUGCAACAUUGCUUCCACUGAAUUCUUCAAUGUCAUUUUCUGAUGCAGAAUAGUCAACAGCACCACCAUAUUUAUCAUCUUUCUUUUUCGUAUAAAGAGGGCAUAUGCCGCAUUCUUUUAUUCUGAUACCUGAUUUCAACUCUCUCUCAACUGAUUCGUAAUCUGGCCGAUUUGGCCGCAGAAAGGGAUCAUACGGACUGAUCUCAAAAGUGAAGCUGCGAGCAUCACACAGCCUAAGGCUCAUGCCGCUCGCCAUUAGGGACUCCAAGUUAAAUUUCCACACGAAUGUCCCUUCACCAUCCCAUUUGAAAUAGCUAUUUAACACACCCUUAUAUGGAAUGAUCUGUGUGCCAUCAUCAUAUUCAAAUUUUAGGCUGUAACGAAAAGAACCAUAUCCACCUUUAAUAUCUAACACUCCAAAAGCUACACACAAAGCGAAACCAGUGAGCCUAUCAUCGCUGCAGAAACUUAAAUCUUCAUUUAUAGUCACUGAAUGUCCCUUCCCACGAAAAUUGAACCAACCAGGAACUGCACUCCCUGGAAAACAGAACAACACACACCUAUAUGUAUCGUCGAUCAUCCUAAGCCUUGCAUCCUCCUCGAUGUUAGCACGAGCACCUGAAUCCAGUUGUUGAGCAUUGGUGAAAUGAUAUUUGAAGACACCCUCUUUGGAAUUUGACAAGUUUGGAACAAGAGAAUUUGACAUCACUCUUCUAAUGGAUGGGCAAUCCAAUGCCUCGAGUUGUUCUAGAAAUGGUGGAAUCGGUGGAAUGCAUUCAAGCUUUUUGCAGUCGCUUAAAUCAAGUGAUUUCAGGCUUGAAAGAUGAGCAAUGCUCUCAGGAAGGUUCACGAUUCCGCUAUCACGCAGUGACAGUUCCAUUAAUGACGUCAAGCGACCGAUGUGUCUUGGGAUUUCUGUUAAUUUGGCACACCCCGAACAAUCAAGUUUAGAGAGAAGCUUCAUAUUAACAAUGGAGUUUGGAAGUGACUCGAGAUAAGUGCACUCUUGGAGUUCCAGGGAUCGAAGAUUAACCAAAUUGCCAAAUGAGGAAGGCAGUUCUUUAACAGCCGUACAUGUCAAGUCAAUAUGAGCAAAAGUAUGAGCCGGCUUCAUGAUCUCUGGGAAGGUCCUCAGCCUUGAGCAACCACCCAAAUCAAGCUUCCUCAAUUUCAAAUUGAAAAUGGUGCUUGGAAAAGUUUGAAGUGAAUUACAGUAGGUAAGGUGUAACUUGCAUAGUCUGGUGAGGCUUCCAAUGGAAGAUGGAAUAAUCUCAAGAUUCAAGCAACUGUGCGAACUCAGUUGUUGAAGCCCUACCAAACGGCACAAGGAUGAAAACUUAUUUUAUUUUUGCUGUUCAUGCAUAACAUUAACAAAUAUUGACAUGAGAGAUUGUGUUUGUAGGCUUCUAAGCUCACCAACGUGUCCCGUUCUUGAUGCUUUAGGGAAGAAAAUUUCCUUUGAGAUUGCAAAAGGACUCAGGAGAAUUUAGAAGUUCUGAGAUAUUUAUGAUAAGAAUUCAAGUUCUUUGUUACUAGCAGUUUAAUGGUUAUAUCAUUUUUGUUCUCUGGAAAAUAUCUGAUACAAAAUUGGUACUUAGAUUUGGUAUUUAUAUUGUUCAUAUGUAGAAAUCUAAUACUAUAGCAAAUUUUAUCUAAUUUAGAAGCAAUUAUAUUCUACUCUUUGGAAUAUGUUCUGGCCUGCUUUUAUGAUUGUAAUUAUAAAUUUAAUAGAGGAGAUUACCAAACAUCCAUACUAAUUAAACUUUUAUAUUAUAAAUUUUUUCAGUUUUAUAUUGAAAACAUAUCCCUUUAGUAUAAGACUUAAAGGAGAUGUCUUUUGGUAUAAAAACUGAAAUAAAAAAUCUUUUAACUAUAUGGGUCAAAUGGAUGAUUAAACUUAUAAAUGUACAAUUAAACUUAUAAAUUGUAAUAAACGAUACUUUAAUUUUAAACUCUAUUGAACUUUUUUUAAUGUUCUCGCUUUUCUUUUAAAUGCAUUUCACUUGUGUGUUUUGUAUUCAGGCUGAUUUUAACUUUAUUCUCAAAUAUACAAAAUAAUUUUUGGUAAUUAUCUUGUGUCGAUCUUGACUUGUAGUAUCAAUGUGAAAUAUGUAAUAAUUACUUUUCUAUGAUUCAGAGGGAAAAUUAUUCCAACUAGACUUUUACAAAUAUAUUUCAAGUGGUAAUAUGAUUUUAAAAAAAAUAGGAUUCGCCACAAAAAAAAGUUACUGUUCCUAAUUGACAUGGUGCUGUCAAAAUUAUUUAAUUACAAUUUAGAUCUUCACUCUACAUAUAAUUAAUUAAUUACCAAUUAUUUAAAAGACUAGUAAAUUAUAAUUUUAAUCUCUCUACAACUUUCUAAAUUUAGUUAUGAUUCUCUCAAAAAAAUUUCCCUUAAAUAUUAAUUAUAAUUACCUUUAGACAGAAACAUUUCUAAUUUAAACAAGCAAAAAUAAGAAAAAAAAAUAGAUUACAAAAACUAAAUUUGAAUUUUUUUAUAUAACUCCAAAUAUAUUUUAUCCAUAAAUAAAUUCUAUUAAUAUUUCAUUUCUGUUUAAAUAGUUUAUUCAUAUUUGUAAUAUUAUUUUCAAAAAACAAUAAUUGUUUUUUGAAUAAAGGUUUACAAAUUCUAUAAUAAUGUAAAUGAGAAGAGGAGUGAGGGUAAAAAUAUGAGAACCUAUGUGAGGGAAUCUUGUGACAAUUUAGCUGGUGUUCAACUUGUGAGAAGUCUUUCAACUUGGUUUUCAAGUUUUAUAUUCAAUUUCUGUUCCUUCAAAUGUUUCUGAUUUUACAGCUCCUCAGGAUUUUACAGCUCCAUGCACAAACCUAAUACAAUGAUAUGAUAUUCAAUCAGCAUUAAUUAGCAUAAACAGGUACCUUGUUGUAAAACUGGGAAUAUGAGAUUCCAUAGGAUGGAGAAAAGUAUGAAGAGGAAUUACCAAUCACCAUUUACCAAUCAUAAUGCCUUCACUACAAAUGCAACCCAAAUAUGCUAAAGAAGUUAAUGAAACUAUAUAUGAAGAGUUUCAAGAAGAUGCAACUCUGGGACAACAGAGCAACCCAUCUCAUGCUGAACACAAACAUCAAACUACAUCUAACAAUAAUUCAGAAAUCUUAAUCAACAAUUGAGCGAACCCACUCCUAAAAUGCCAUUGAGAAUGUAAAUAAAUCAAAAUACAUUAAAAACGAGAAAUUCUUAAUAAAAAUUCAACGUGUUGAACCUUGUAAUUUAGAAGUAUUAACGAGAAGCCAGUUUAGAUCCUCACCAAUGAAAGACUAUUUUACAGGUUAGCUUCCACUGGAUUCUUCAAUGUGAACAGCACCACCAUAUUUAUCAUCUUUCUUUUUGGAAUAAAGAGGGCAUAUGCCGCAUUCUUUUAUUGUCACAACUGACCACCCAAAGUCAUAAAGAGGACUGAUCUCAAAAGUGAAGCUGCGAGCAUCACACAGCCUAGGGCUUAGGGAUUCUAAGUUAAAUUUCCAGACGAAUGUGUGAUCUUUAUCAACAAAACUGUAUUCACCAUUCCAUUUGAAAUGUCUGUUUAACCUAUCAUUAUUUGGAAUGAUAUGUGUGCCAUCAUCAUCAGAUUCAAAUUUUAGGCUGUAACCAAAAGAACCAUAUCUACCUUUAACAGAAUUCGUAUCUAACACUCCAAAAACCACACACAAAGCGAAACCAGUGAGCCUAUCAUCGCUGCAGAAACUUAAAUCUUCAUUUAUAGUCACUGAAUGUCCCUUCCCACGAAAAUGGAACCAACCAGGAACUGUACUCCCUGGAAAACAGAAGAACACAGACCUAUAUCUAUCAUCGGUCAUCCUAAGCCUUGCAUCCUCCUCAAUGUUAGCACGACCACCUGAAUCCAGUUGUUGAGCAUUGGUGAAACGAAAUUUGAAGACACCCUCUUUGGAAUUUGACAAGUUUUGAACAAGAGAAUUUGGCAUCACUCUUCUAAUGGAUGGGCAAUCCAAUGCCACGAGUUGUUUUAGAAAUGGUGGAAUCUGUGGGAUGCAUUCAAGCUUUUUGCAGUCGCUUAAAUCAAGCGAUUUCAAGCUUGAAAGAUGAGCAAUGCUCUCAGGAAGGUUCACGAUUCCGCUAUCACGCAGUGACAGUUUCACUAAUGACGUCAAGCGACCGAUGUGUCUUGGGAUUUUUGUUAAUUUGGCACACCCCGAACAAUCAAGUUUAGAGAGUAGCUUCAGACUAACAAUGGAGUUUGGAAGUGACUCGAGAUCAGUGCAUUUGCGGAGCUCCAGGGAUCGAAGAUUAACGAAAUUGGCAAAUGAGGAAGGCAGUACUUUAACAGCCGUAUAUGAUAAGUCAAUGCGAGCAAAAGUAGGAGCCCGCUCCGUGAUAUCUGGGAAGGUACUCAGGCUUGAGCAACCACACAAAUCAAGCUUGCUCAAUUUCAAAUUGAAAAUGCUGCUUGGAAAAGUCUGAAGUGAAUUACAGCGGGUGAGGUGUAACUUGCAUAGUCUGGUGAGGCUUCCAAUGGAAGAUGGAAUAAUCUGAAGAUUGAAGCAACUGCGCAAACUCAGUUCUUCAAGCCCUAUCAAACGGCACAAGGAUGAAGGUAGUGCCUGUAUGGCUGUGGCGUCUAAGAUGAGCACCGCUAGAUCUUCCAACGUGUCCUGAAUCUCGGGUAAAUUUUCCAAUUUUGAGCAACCACGGAGAGAAAGUUGAUUUAUGAAUUUCAUAUCAGAAAGGUCAAUUGGAAAGAUUGUAAGAGAAGAACAGUGAGAGAGAUCUAUGUGAGAGAGCUUCUUGCCACUAAAUUGUAAGGGCACACCUUCGUAGUCUUCUGAGUAUUCUGAGUCUGUAGCAUUAUUAGCAUUUAUCUCUUUCAUCAUAUCCGGUUCCUGACGCUCCAGUAUGACAUGAGGGAGAAAUUUAUCUUCAUGUUCACCCAAUGAAAACAUAUUAAGCUUCUCACAACCGGAAACACUAAUCCAUCCUGGUGAUGUGGAUAAAAUGUUGCUGGGAAUAUUUACACUUUUGAGAUUAGAACAAUGAUCUAAACAUAAACAACUGAGCUUGGUGAGGAAUAUCGAAGAGUGAACUUCAAUCAACUUUGAACAAUAACUCAGCUUUAUUUCUUCAAUAUUCGGUGACAGAGAAAGGUCUGGUAUUCUAGUAAGUUCCCAAGAUUUAACCAGGUCGAGCCUUUUCAAGUUGGGUAAAUUCUGCCAGAAAUAGUAAAUGAAUGAGGUAACAAAUAAAAACUACUUUAUCUAUUUUUCUUCCUAUUUAAACUAUUAGCUACUAUCUAUUGAGUUUAUAUUUUACAUUACUUAAAAACCACUGUUAAAAAAACCACACUGUGGACUAACAAAACUCUGCCUAUAAAUUUUAUAGUUAUUAUAAAAAAUCACAAAAUUUAACGUCUUUUUGUUCCCUACCUAAAAUUACAUCCUAAUCAUUUGAACCUAAACUUAUUAUGUAUUCAAAAACUUAUGAUAGUAAUUUAUAAUCGAUCACAAUGUCAAAAUACUUUAUAUUAUACAUGUAUCAACUCACAAAAUAAAUGGUGUUGUCUCAGAUUUAAAAUUAAACCUUAGUUAAAAAGUCCAUCUUUCCAUAAUUUAUUUUAUUAAAUACAUAAUUUGUAAUUUAUUGUAUAUUAUAUUCAAGUUUAUGUUAUGAUAAAAAAAGUAUCUAAGGCAUUUUUAAUUAAAUAAUAUAAAAUAAACAACAUGAACUCAAUUAAAUAAUAUAAAUUUUUUUGAAUACUCGAUGGAAUAAAAAAAUUAAUAAAACCCUCAAUUUGAAAAUAACCAAAUUUAUAAGAUACUUAAAACUUAAUUAAACCUACAAAUUUUCAUUAUAUGGAAUUAAAUAUUGUAAAGAUUUACCACAUAAGUUUCAUAAGUAGAAGGUUUAAACAUAAAAUUCUUCACGUUGGGAGUUUCUUUCCUCUAUCUUAUAAGUUUUCGUUGUUUCUUUAAUAUUUUUUAUAUGGCUUCUGUCAAUGUAAUUUUUUUUUUGGUUUUAAAAUAUUAUUAAAGAUAAAAUAUGAAGACAGGGUAAUUAAAUUAAAUAUAAUUUUUAUUUUUCAGAAAUGAUGAAAAUUAUAAUUAAAUUAACUAAAUUAUAUAAAAUUCCAUUUUAUUUACAUAACUCAUUUUCAUAUUAAAAAACUAUAUAAGAUCUUCCAAAGUAGAUAUAAUACAUUCACGGGCCAUUAGAUGAUAUGCCUAAAAAAAUAUGCAAACUAUUAAAUUUAUAAUUAUCUUUAAUUAGAAACAUGCUGAGUAUGACUCAAAUAAAAGAAAUUUCAAAUCGAAUAAUGUCGAGAAGGCACAAAGGAAUUGCAAAUGAAAACUUGUAUAUGUAUAAUACAGAAAACAUGCUUGUAUAAUUUAUUUUUAUCUUUGAAAGUUUAGAACACAAAGGAACAUAGAUAGCUUGAAAAACCUGAUCUCCUUCCCAGAGUUGUUCAAGAUGGCAGAAUGGCAUUUCGAGGGUCACUAGAUUUUGUGGGCAAAAGUUUGGAGGCCAAAAUCUUUGAGGGAAAUGUGUCCAAUAAAGAAUCUUUAGAGUGUCUGGCAUAUCCACAAGAGGUGAUUCAAAAGACACUUUUAAUUCCAAUCCCCACGUGUAGAGCCUAAGCACCCUAAGAUUGUUCAUCUUUUCGAAACUUUGUGCAUGUACUACAACUUCUUUUACUUUGAAAGUAGAUAGUGAUAUACACUCUAUUGAAGUAGAUAGUGAUAUACACUCUAUUGCAUCUGACCCCUGAAAGUAAAUCAUGAAAUGUUGCAUUGCAGGAUGUUUGAUGACAGCUCAGUGGUUUGCAAUUUUUCACAAAGUAAAUCCAUUCUCAAUUGAGUAACGACAUAAUACCUUGUUCUUUCUUAAAACCUCUCAAAUUUCCUCAGCAUUAAACAAUCGGCUGCGUUUUCCAGGAUGCUGAGGACACUCUUUACGAACAAUUUCUUUACCCAUUUCUUGUAUUAGAUCGUGCAUCACAAUUCUACCAUGAAAGACAGAUAUUAGGCCCCUAUCUUUGAGAAUAUCCAUUCCAAUCUUGGAAGAGAAACCACAGUCAGCAAGUAUUUCUGCUACCACAAUCUCUUGUGACCUAUAUAAAAGCAAGCUAUGUCAAGAAAUAUAUUCUUCUCCUCCUCCUCGAGCCCAUCAUAACUUAAUUUUAAUACAUUGAAAAUACCAAGAUGUUGGCCCUUUUCCAACUUUUGCAACUGACUCUCCCAUGCUUCUCUUGUUCUUCCAUAAAGCAAUGACCCCAAAAUCUGGAGAGCUAAUGGAAUCCCUUUUGCAUAUCUCAACACCUUUUCUGACAGUUCCCUGUAAGCAAUUUCUUCUGAAGAUUUUUGUUUAAAAGCAAGUAAACUAAAAAGUUUCUGAGAAUCAUCAAAAUUCAACUCCUUAACUUCGUAGAUAUCAUCAGCUCUAGCAUUCUUAAGCACUUGUUUGUCUCUACUGGUGAUAAUGAUUCUACUGCCCUGCCCAAAACUAUCACUCCCUCUUAUUAAUUUUUGAAGUUGAGCUGAAUCGGUAACAUCAGUUAGAAGUGGAACACGUUUGUAGAAGUGGAACACGUUAGUUGGUUAGUUGCCUUAAGAAGCGGAUCAUGUAUUUUUUCUUGAACGUCUAAAACAAGGCUGCUGGAAUCAAACUGCAAUUCCAAUUUGUGAUAUAUUUGAUCACAAAUUGUAGUUUUUCCUAUUCCUCCCAUGCCACAAAUGCCUAUGAUCCGAACAUCCGGUAAGUCAAGAUGCAACAAGGACUGAAUUCCUUCAAUAUUUUUUUCAAUGCCGAUGAUUCCUUGAUCAUAACUGAUGGAAUAACGAUUCAAUUUUCUCAAAAUAUCUCCCACAAUUCCUUCAACAAGUGUGUGUUCUGACCUGGCAGAUGAUUUAGAAAAUAAAGUAUAAGUAUUCAUGCACAAAAGCUAAAACAAAACUAAAGAAAAAUUCAGAGUCAAGAAGAGUGAACAUCAUUGAAUAGAUUCACAUAUUGAUUGUAGGACGUUAUCUUCGAAUAUUAGUGUGGUUGGUUUAGAAAUUGCAAAUCAAGAUCGCAGAAAUUCUACAGUAACCGGUAGUGACUUCUGAUACUAGGAAGCAGUCUUGUAGGUACAAAGUUAAGCUAUAAGAUGUGAUAUGGUUCAGAUCUAUGACCCACUACGAAAAAUGGAAAAAAGAAACACUUGAUUUAUGGUGAGAUGAACACAAUUUUAGUAAAUGAAAAGAGAUCCUGAUUAUCUAAUAAAUAUAAUGACCUGGUGACUUUUGAAUCCCAGCCUGAAAGUCCAGCAGCUUCGGUGAGAGCAUCCUUCCAUCCUUGCACUUUGUCGUGCUUAAAGUGCUGCUCAUGCUCAUCGAAUGCUUCUUUGUAUCUUUCUUCCUGCUUCCUAAUAGUUGACGGAUCCACCUUGUAGAAAACAGGUAUGACAUCCCUUCCAUAUCUCUUCUUGCAAUCAAGUAUCUUAGUGAGUUCAUUCAAGCACCAAGUGGAAGAUGCAUAGUUUUGGGAGAAAACGACGAUAUAAAUCUUCGAUUCUUCUAUUGCAGAGAGCAGUGCAGAUGAAAUUUCUUCGCCCCGGGGUAGUGUCUCAUCAAUAUAUGCUUCUAUGUUCUUCCUUUGCAGUGCUGGAUGAAGGUGGCUAAUGAAGUUGUCACGUGUGUCUUCCCCUCUGAAGCUGAGAAACACAUCAUGCUUUGUUAGAGAAGUGGACACGGGGAAUGAUGAAGAACUUCCUGUUUAAUUUCUUCGCCCCUGUUUAAUCUGUAAUCAAUAUAUGCUUCAAUGUUCUUCCUCUGCAGCGCUGCAUAAAGGUGACUAAUGAAGUUGUCACGUGUGUCUUCCCCUCUGAAGCUGAGAAACACAUCAUGCUUGGUUAGAGAAGCAGACAUGGCCAAUGAUGAAGGGUUUCAAUUUUCUCUGCAACUCUCAGAUCCCUUUGUUUGUAAGCAACUUGCAUAU
rnacentral:lncRNA from 1 species